AAGCUCCCAAAAAUAGAGAGAGCCAUUAAAAUGAACAUAACCCAAAUUGGAAUCAGAGAGGGACGUGGGUUUGGCUAAGGUUCCGCCGUUCCUUAAACAACUUUUCAUUUUUUGUGUUCAUAUGAUCUUUCAUUUUAUUAAAGCAAUUUUAUUUGGGAUCCUAUUAGGGGAAAUACCAAGUCUCUUUUCCGGCUGACUUACAGCCGAAAGGCCAAGAGAGGCGUUUGGUAUGCUUGUCGCAUACUACUAACAAUGGCUAGAUCUGAAAAACUCAGACAACUUGCUGAUGGGUUCAGUGGCUUUGGAAGACAUAUGAACACAAAAUGAAAAGUUGUUUAAGGAACGGCGGUGGGUUCAGUGGCUUGGUUUUGAGAAUGAGAAUGUGAGUUUGAGAAGGUGGCUUUCUUAUAUAUAACAAGAAGAAGAAGAGUUUGAGUUUAUUCAUCAACGGGGGAGAAGAGUACAUCAGCAAGUUGUCUGAGUUUUUCAGAUUUAGCCAUUGUUAGUAGUAUGCGACAAGCAGACCAAACGCCUCCCUCGGCCUCCCGGCUGUAAGUCAGCCAGUAAAGAGACUUGGUAUUUCUCCACCUAGGAUCGGCUAACAAAAAGGCACGGUUGGAGGCUCAGUUACAAUCUUUAUCUGCUAACCAAGUUUUUCCUUGUACUUCCAUGGCACAGUAACAAUGUAUCUGUUGCUUCUAUAUGAAUCUUGCCCGUCAUAAAUUUCUAGGAGUCUGUUUUCCGCUGGGAAAGGGCAUGUAUCGUGUGCUUCAUAUACCAGUAGAUGAAGCUGUUCUCUUGAACUCUAGGGAGAAGGCACCGUACAUGAUCUGCUUAGAAGUUUUGAGAUGUGAAAUGCCAAGUAAUUUCAAGGAGACAUCCAGUUCUCAGAAGCUUUCUCAAGGUGGAAUUCCUUUGGCAAAUGGAGAUGCUUUCUUGCAAAAACCACCCCCUUGGGCAUAUCCAUUACGGACAGCACAAGAGGUUUACCGUAAUAGCAAUGAUAGGAUGUCCAGAUCAACUGCUGAGGCAAUUGACCAGGCAAUGACUCAUGUAUCUCAGCCUAAAACAAAAUUUGUUAGCUUGAAUCUUUCGGUGGAAACAUGAUAUAAUGGUCAGGCAGGGAAGACUUAUAGAGAGGGUGUACGUGAAGCAGUAGGAGCCGAACAUGACAGUGAUCUGGAAUGGGUACAAAUAGUGUUGACAGCUGAUCCUGGGGUUAGAUUGGAAGAUAUUGAGGAUCAAGCACCACCUCGGAAGAAGGAACAUCGUCGUGUUCCAAGUACAGUGGCAAUAGAAGAAGUAAAGGCUGCCGCAGCAAAAGGGGAAGCGCCUCUCGGACUCCCUUUGAAAGGUGCUGGCCAAGACUCAUCAGAUGCACAACCGACGGCUAAUGGAAUUACUCCUAAGGCCAGUGAUGCUUUGUCUGGUGAACUUUGGGAUGCAAAGAAAGAAAGGGUACGCAAGGAUUCGAUAUAUGGGAAGUUACCUGGUUGGGACUUGCGAUCGGUAAGCAUGUAUUUUUAAGCACAAGAAAUGUCUUUAUAUGUAGUUAGUUACCUGUUUUGGAAAUUCAAUAAUUUAUGAACUCAAUGAUAUAUACAUAAAAAUGGUACUCCCUCCUGUCCUUUCUAUAAAAGACAAUCGGGUCAACAAAAAUUGAUGUAUUUGAUCUAUAAUAUUGACCUAACUGUCUUUAAUAAAAAGAACUGGAAGUAGUAUUGUUUAUGAAUUCACAUAUGGUAUUUAUGCAGUACCUAGAAAAAAGCAGUUUCUUGUGUCAAAAGCUCCACUAUCAUGUCGUUUUUUUUUAUAUGAUUAUUAAUAUGACUCAAUAAAGAAUGGUUGGCAUAUGUUCUAUAUUAGCUAUUUGUUGUUUCUGUUUCAAAA